AACAAAGUGGCACUACUUCAGGGACAAUGGGAGUUGCAGCUGGACAGGAUGGCCAAGCAAGCUCUAAUUUGGAUUUCACAAUCGCGUUCAGGAGCAGAAACCCAACAGCCAUCUCAGAAAUGAGGAGGACAUCGCUUCUUCUUGGAUUAUCCUGCAGUAUUAGGAAUUGAUCACUGUACCUUUUAAUCUCAGCCCACAUUUCAGAAUUAAGAUUUCUUCAUGCCUACUUUCUUCAGAGCCCCUGGGACUCACCUGGACCUCUGAGACUCCAGCCUGAGUGAAGCUGAGGCAGAGUGGGACUGGCCUCCUUUUUCCUUCAGUCUUCCCAUGUGUCCCCAAACCACCAGCUCUGCUGCCUUCAGUAAAUACUGUGGCCUGCUGUCAUCACUGAAAAGCUCACUGCCU
rnacentral:lncRNA from 1 species